rnacentral:rRNA from 1 species
UACGGGGGGGGCAAGCGUUGUUCGGAAUUACUGGGCGUAAAGGGCUCGUAGGCGGCCAACUAAGUCAUGCGUGAAAUCCCUCGGCUUAACCGGGGAACUGCGUCUGAUACUGGAUGGCUUGAGUUCGGGAGAGGGAUGCGGAAUUCCAGGUGUAGCGGUGAAAUGCGUAGAUAUCUGGAGGAACACCGGUGGCGAAGGCGGGUCUCUGGGCCGUAACUGACGCUGAGGAGCGAAAGCGUGGGGAGCGAACAGG